rnacentral:snoRNA from 1 species
GUGCACAUUUUAUUGUCUUUUUUCUUCACAUCAAGAGAAAAGAUAUUUCUGAUGUGCUAAACAAACUUUUGGAGGUAAAUUAGCAGCAUGACUACUUUUGCCACUGCUGUCAGUCACCUUCAGACAAGU